GAUGAACGCUGGCGGCGUGCUUAACACAUGCAAGUCGAACGAAGCACUUUAUUUGAUUUCCUUCGGGACUGAUUAUUUUGUGACUGAGUGGCGGACGGGUGAGUAACGCGUGGGUAACCUGCCUUGUACAGGGGGAUAACAGUUGGAAACGGCUGCUAAUACCGCAUAAGCGCACGGCAUCGCAUGAUGCAGUGUGAAAAACUCCGGUGGUAUAAGAUGGACCCGCGUUGGAUUAGCUAGUUGGUGAGGUAACGGCCCACCAAGGCGACGAUCCAUAGCCGACCUGAGAGGGUGACCGGCCACACUGGGACUGAGACACGGCCCAAACUCCUACGGGAGGCAGCAGUGGGGAAUAUUGCACAAUGGGCGAAAGCCUGAUGCAGCGACGCCGCGUGAGCGAAGAAGUAUUUCGGUAUGUAAAGCUCUAUCAGCAGGGAAGAUAAUGACGGUACCUGACUAAGAAGCACCGGCUAAAUACGUG
rnacentral:rRNA from 1 species